AGUGAACGCUGGCGGCGUGCUUAACACAUGCAAGUCGAACGAGAACGGGUUAUAGCUUGCUAUAAUUGUCAGCUAAGUGGCGCACGGGUGAGUAAUGUAUAGGUAAUAUGCCUCUACUAAGGGAUAACAAAUGGAAACGUUUGCUAAUACCUUAUACUCCUUAUUAACAUAAGUUAAUAAGGGAAAGAUUUAUUGGUAAGAGAUUAGCCUGUAUUGUAUCAGUUAGUUGGUUGGGUAAUGGCUUACCAAGACUAUGACACAUAACUGGUUUGAGAGGAUGAUCAGUCACACUGGAACUGAGACACGGUCCAGACUCCUACGGGAGGCAGCAGUGGGGAAUAUUGCACAAUGGACGAAAGUCUGAUGCAGCAACGCCGCGUGGAGGAUGACACAUUUCGGUGCGUAAACUCCUUUUAUAUGAGAAGAUAAUGACGGUAUUAUAUGAAUAAGCACCGGCUAACUCCGUGCCAGCCGCCGCCGUAA
rnacentral:rRNA from 1 species